GAAGGGGGAAAUGAGCAGCGUUAGUUUAAUUUCAAAACUGUUUGAACUAUGAUAUUAUUUAUAUUUAAUAUAAUAAAAUAAGAUCCGAUAUGAAUAUGUUUUCAAUUUUUUUUAAAUAUUCAACAUUUUCGGCAAGCUAUUUCAACAUUUUGCAUAUAUUGCUUCAACAUUUACAUGAAAAUGUUGAAAUGAGCUUUACAAAAUGUUGAACUAGGCUUAAAGAAAUGUUGAAUUUAUGUUUUGAAAUGUUG
rnacentral:lncRNA from 1 species